ACAUUCUCAAUUCUCAUUGGUCAAAAAAGAAUGUCAAAGAUUAUGAAUUAAGACCAUUGAUUUGAAAAAGAUCAAAAUCCCACCAUUGAAUCCCUCCCUAUCCCUAAACCCUCCCUCUUUUGUCUUUUCGCUCAUUCUCGUUCCUCACAGCCUCCCUCUUCAUCUUCCUCAUUCCUCUUCCAUCUUCACGUACACCAUUGAAUCUCAGAUCUAUUUUCUCUCUCAUCUCUCACGCUCAACCUCUUAGUUUCUCUAUCUCCUACCUUCAUAUGUUCUUACUGGUGUGCUAAAGUCCAAGAAAUCAAAGUAAAUCUACAAGGUAGAGCAAGGGUUGUGAAAUGGGUUCUUUAUGCCAUAACUCAAGUAUAGUUGAAGAUCUUUAGUCAAAAUCGCAAGAUUCAAGAAGAAGUGCCAAAAAUAUGAAAAUCUCAUUGUUUAUAUACUUGAUGUAAUGAGAUGUCUUACAAGUGUUGGAGAGUCGAUGCUUUGAAUUCUAGUGGAUUUUGAUUUCUUGGUUGUUAAUGGAUGGAAUCACAAGUAUUAAUAGAUUUCUUUUUAGGAUUAUUUUAAUUUGUAAAAAUUUUAUGCUGUAAAUUUGUUUAUUAUAUCCUCCCAAUUCUUUUGA